UUAAUUGAAGCCAAAAAGAGGCUUAUCACUGUUAAUGAUAAAAUUGAAUAAUACUCCAAUUAAA
rnacentral:tRNA from 1 species